rnacentral:rRNA from 1 species
AUGGAAGCAGCAGGAGAUGAGGAGAGGCCCUUGCUCCAUCACCCACAUCCUCAUCUCUAUCAGGAUGGGAAUUCAAGAUACACUAGUGAUGGAACAGUUGAUGUUGACGGACAACCUGCUGUUAAGGCAAGCACAGGGGACUGGAGAGCCUGCUUCUUUGUCCUAGGUAUCCAAUUCAGCGAAUGCCUGGCCUUCUUCGCUAUCUCCAAGAACUUGGUCACCUACCUAACCAGCGUGCUCCACGAAAGCAACAUCGACGCGGCGAGGAAUGUGUCCACUUGGAUUGGCACCACAUUCUUCACGCCGCUUGUUGGAGCUUUCUUAGCAGACACCUAUUGGGGAAGAUACAAGACAUUAGUGGUUUUCCUCUCGGUUUAUGCUCUCGGAAUGCUUGUCCUCACGGUUUCGACGACACUCCCAUGGAUGCGGCAAUCCUCCAGCAAUGAUGAGAUCCAUCGUAUCGCCGUCUACACAGGACUCUAUCUUACAGCCCUUGGCAAUGGUGGCAUCAAGCCAUGUACUUCCACUUUUGGUGCUGACCAGUUUGACAUCACCGACCCGUCGGAGCAGUUAAAGAAGGGCUCCUUCUUCAAUUGGUUCUACUUCUCGACCAGUAUUGGUUCCCUUCUAUCGACCACUAUGAUCGUGUGGGUGCAAGAUAAUGCUGGUUGGGGCAUUGGCUUCGCGGUCCCGACGAUCUUCAUGAGCCUCAGCUUCACAGUGUUCAUCGCUGGUAGGAGGAUCUAUAGGUACAAGACACUGGGAGAGAGUCCCAUGACAAGAGUGUCUCAGGUUGUUGUUGCAGCUGCAAGGAAUCACCAUAUGGAUUUGCCAGAUGAUUGCUCAACCCUACAUCACCUGCCUUCAGCACCAUUAGAGGCUACGUUCAAUGUUCACCAUACCACUCAGUUCAGAUUUUUGGACAAGGCUGCCAUUGUACCAGCACCAACAGUGGAGAAGAAAGGCACGUCGACAAGCCCGUGGAGGCUAUGCGUAGUGUCUCAUGUGGAGGAGGUGAAGAUGUUGUUGCGAUUGUGCCCCACAUGGGCGUCCUUGGUGAUAUUCUUCAUGAUCAUGUCGCAGAUGUCGUCGACGGUGAUUGAGCAGGGCAUGAUAAUGGACAACCGCGUGGGGCCAUUUGUUGUGCCGCCAGCCUCCAUCGCCAGCUUCACCGUGGUUACCACGCUCGUGCUAGUCCCCAUCUACGACAUGGUGCUGGUGCCCUUGGCCCGGCAUGCCACCGGUGAGGAUCGAGGCCUCACGCAGUCACAGCGCCUCGGCAUUGGCUUCGCGAUGUCCACACUCUGCAUGGCCUACUUGGCGCUGCUCGAGAGGAACCGGCUCGCGGUAGCCGCGACCGGGGAAAUGAUGAACAUCAUGUGGCAAGCACCGGCGUAUGUUGUGUUGGGUGCCGGCGAGGUGUUCACGGUAAUUGGCAUGUUGGAGCUCUUCUAUGACCGGUCACCAGACGGAAUGAGGAGCCUAUGCACUGCACUAUCACAGCUCGCUGUCGCGGUGGGGAACUACCUCAACUCAGCUGUGCUGGGCGUUGUCGCAUCCACAACGGUGUGGAUUUCGGAGGACCUCGACAAAGGCCACCUAGACUACUUCUUCUGGACGAUGGCGGCGCUCGGUGCCCUGAAUCUGUUGCAAUUUUUGUUCUUCUCCAUGAGAAAACUACAAAGACCUUGUCCCGUGAUUAAGUUUCAUUGGAUCGAUGGAUCAAAACUUACGCAUGGAAGAUAUAUCUAUGAACUCGAUCACUUGUGUAGUUUUCAGGAUUUGCCCAACAAAGUAUACUACUAA